rnacentral:tRNA from 1 species
GGGGGAAUAGCUCAAAGGUAGAGUGCAUGCCUAGCAUGCACGAGGUCCUGGGUUCAAUUCCUACUAUCUCCA